rnacentral:rRNA from 1 species
AGAACUUGAAACCGUGUGCUUACAAGUAGUCAGAGCCCGUUAAUGGGUGAUGGCGUGCCUUUUGUAGAAUGAACCGGCGAGUUACGAUUUGAUGCAAGGUUAAGCAGCUAAUGUGGAGCCGUAGCGAAAGCGAGUCUGAAUAGGGCGUUUAGUAUUUGGUCGUAGACCCGAAACCAGGUGAUCUACCCUUGGUCAGGUUGAAGUUCAGGUAACACUGAAUGGAGGACCGAACCGACUUACGUUGAAAAGUGAGCGGAUGAACUGAGGGUAGCGGAGAAAUUCCAAUCGAACUUGGAGAUAGCUGGUUCUCUCCGAAAUAGCUUUAGGGCUAGCCUCAAGUGAUGAUUAUUGGAGGUAGAGCACUGUUUGGACGAGGGGCCC